rnacentral:ncRNA from 2 species
GGGUGUUGGCUGCAUGGAGCAGCGAACAGGUUCAUGCGCAGGUCGGGCCGCCGCG